rnacentral:misc_RNA from 1 species
GGCGCCAACGGGCAUCUCGUUUUGUCUUCCGUGGACACACACACACACACAUAAACGCGUGCACAAGCGCAAUCUCCCGUGCCCCCCCUCCCCCGACCGAUAUGAGCGGGUUUCCAACAUCUACGCAGUCGACGGUGGGCCGCGCCGGUACGAAAGACGAUGGCGCGGCGGCCGCAGUGCCGCAGUGCGUGUGCGCCACCUGUAUGAUGCGGCUGCCGAUGCCUCGUUCUUCGUCUGUUUUUGCAUCGUUUCAGUGCCCACAGUGCCGCAUGAAUGGCGUGGACGCGAAGCUCGUCUACACAUGCCGCGCGCAGCCGACGGAGCACUCCACGCGAUGACGCGUUUGCUGGUACACGGAUCGCGCACGGCAAGCGGCCUUUUUCCUUGACCCUCCCCUUCUACCCUCACGUUACUGGCCUGUGUCUCCAUAAGAUCCCAUUGGGGUGGGGGUUGGACAUGUGUAAGAGCCGUAAACAGGAGUGCAAACAAGAAGAGCAACUUGGCCACGAUGCGCAGGUGGCGUGUCUCCUGCUGCUGCUCCCUUUGACUCCUCCCCGCCUGUGCAUGUCCCCUCGCUCACGCACACGUUGCCAAGAAGCUGUAGCUACUGCGGCAGUGAUUAUUGGCACAUUUUUUUUUGGUCGUGAGUCUGUGUGUGUGUGUGUGUGUCAACACCUAUCGAUGGAUGCUGCUCAGCUGCGCUCCCCACCUCCUCUGCCUUUGCCGCGUGCAAUAGAGGACGCCCACACUGUCUUUGUCUGCACGGGCACCUCUUCUAGGCUCGGCUCCUCCCUACCCCGCCCACGCACCCUCCCCGUCACCUUCUCGCGAUCGCUUGUCUUCUCUCAUCUCGCUUGUGCUCUGCCGCAG